rnacentral:rRNA from 1 species
UACAGAGGGUGCAAGCGUUGUUCGGAAUUAUUGGGCGUAAAGGGAGUGUAGGCUGUUUGGUAAGUCUUCUGUGAAAUCUACGGGCUCAGCCUGUAACGUGCAGAGGAAACUACCAGGCUUGAGUGUCGGAGAGGAUAGGGGAAUUCCCGGUGUAGAGGUGAAAUUCGUAGAGAUCGGGAGGAACACCAGUGGCGAAGGCGCCUAUCUGGCUGACAACUGACGCUGAGACUCGAAAGCAUGGGGAGCAAACAGG